rnacentral:rRNA from 1 species
CAUUGAUGAUAAUUUACAACUAUCAUCCGCCUGGGAACUACGAGCACCAGCUUAAAACCCAAAGGACUUGGCGGUGCUUUAGACCCACCUAGAGGAGCCUGUUCUAGAACCGAUAACCCCCGUUCAACCUCACCCUUCCUUGUUCUUCCCGCCUAUAUACCACCGUCGUCAGCUUACCCUGUGAAGGACUGAUAGUAAGCAAAACUGGCAAAGCCCAAAACGUCAGGUCGAGGUGUAGCGUAUGGAAGGGGAAGAAAUGGGCUACAUUCACUAAUUCAGUGCAUACGAAUGACAUCCUGAAACACGUGUCUGAAGGAGGAUUUAGCAGUAAGCAGAAAAUAGAGUGUUCUACUGAAACUGGCCCUGAAGCGCGC